CGCGUGCAGGGGCGGGAGGGACGGAAGCCCCCGCCCACCGCAGCCAGGACGCGCCGCCUCCGCUCGCCCCCAACCGCCGCCCGCGGGGCUGACUCCAUUCAGACCGCGAAAAGCGGCGGCCGCGUUCACGCCGCUGCACCCGGAUCCCGACCUGGACCCCGACCCCGACCCUGAUCCCGACGCGGACCCGGACACCUACCCGGAGUCGGAACCAGACCCCGACCCGGACCCCGACCCAGACCCGGACCCCGACCCUAACCCAGACCCGCACCCCGACCCCCGCCCAAUCCCAGACCCCAGCCCGGAAGCAUGAGCCCAACCCGGACUGAGACCGCGACCCCCGCAGUUCGGACUGAUCUGCACCUGAAUUCAGCUUCCUAAGAGGUCACAGAAAGCUCUGGGUCGUCACAAAGAGCAGCUCUUCUGGUGGCUGUGGAGACAAUCUCAUCGUGAAGGUUCAGAUGGCAUUUACUUUACUCCAAACAAGUGCUCAGCCCACGGAGCCUCCAGAGACGCCUUCGCCUCUAGACCCCAUGUUUUGCGCGUGGCAAAGACCCACGAGCCUUGUCAGACGUUCUGUACACAGACUGUGACUGUGUCUCAAUUCCCAGUUCUGGGAACUUCCACCACCGGGACCAAGUGAAAGCCUUGGAGUUGGUCCACAAAAGCUGAGCAACCUUGUAAAACAACAUAAAUUAGGAAGGAACCUCA